ensembl:lncRNA
GGAGGCUGAGGCAGGAGGAUCACAAGUGUGAGCCCAGCCUGGGCAACUUGGAGACCUAGUAGGACCCUGUAUCAAAAUAAAAAAGGCUGGGCAGAGAGCUCAAUGUGAAGGGCCUGGGUUCCAUCCUCAGUGCCACAAAUAAGGAGAGAGGAGGAGGGGCUGUUACCCUCCUUCCAGUGGUCCUGGGGCCCCACGAUGCCACCCCACAUGUGAUCAGCUUCAAACAUUUUGCUUAAGCCAACGGGCCAGAAAUGGGGCCUCUCUGAUUAUGCACCAAGGCCCUGGUGAUCAUGUCAUCCCAGAGGUUGCCACGGCAGUGUCCCUGGCCCCUGGGACUCCAAGCCGUCCAUCAGGGACCCAGAACCACACGCUGAGUGGCCGGAUGAAGAAGCCAGGGAAGCAGCACCAGCCCCAGGGAAGUGGGGGACAUCCUUCGUGGGCCGGGCUGGGCAGCAGGGAAUAGGGCAGGGCGGGCAGGGGAGGGGCUCCACAGGCUGCGGAGAGGGAUUAUAUAUUCAUCAGAAUCUUAAACAAAAGCCCUGCAGCCGCCUGUCAGCCGCGCUAUGGCUUUUAUGGUAAUCAGCGAUGAAUUACCCACAAUGCCUGGCCAAGCGCAAGUGGUUCUUGGCCCGGAUCCUAAACUAAUUUUUGGAUGUUUGUGUGUAUAUAAUUUUGCUCACUCCCUCCCGCUCCUUUCCUUCAUUAAUGGGAACAGGGAAGCAGGGGGAGACACAAGCAGAAGGAACCCUGAGUGUACAGUGGGGUGCAGCCCUCAUCAAGACCCCUGGCACUCAGGCCUACAUGGCUCCAUGCCCUGGGAGCAGAGUGAGGAGAGGGAGAGGGGAGAGAGGAGGCUGGAAAUCACCAAAAGCCACAACUACUGAAGUCAGGUCUCUGCCAUGUGCUGGGUGACCUUAGUUCCGAGCUGGAGUCCCUGCAUCAAGCCGUUCCUGAAGCCAGCGUCCUUGAAUAUGUUUCCUUCAGCUAUGAGAGCCAGCUCCCCUGCUUUUCACUAAGUGCCAUUAGCAGAAAGCAACACGCACGCGCCAUCUCUCCCACCUGGGCCCGGGAGGCGGUGCCCACCUACUGCGAGAUUCCCCCCCCGGCCACUGGCUCAAGACCGUCGGCACGGUCCAUCUGAGCAGCACCCACCGUGCGCUGGCCCAGCGCUGGACAAAGGAGGCAUCGAUGUCACCCGGGGCUCACGGAGACCCAGCAGAAAGCCCUGGCCACGCCCGGAACACCCGGCCCUGCUCUCCACCCAGGCAACUCCUGUUGGCCAGCACUCCCCAGACCAGCGCCACCUCCUCUAAGACGCCUCCUCUGCCUCCCCUCCCCCAGGCGGUUCUGGGGGCUUCUGUCUUUCCUUGCGUUCAAGACGCACCAGGAUCCGAAGCAUCAACCACAAGGAACGAACAACACCCCGAUUACACCACCGUAACACGAGACUUUGUUCAGGUGGGGAAACUGAGGCCCAGAGAGGCAAAGCACAGAAACAGGGACAGCACCAGCACCAGCACCAGGGUUCAGGCUCUGGACAUGUGGGACAAGAAUUCACCUUCCAGGGCUUCCCAGGGUGAUGGCCCGGACUCCUCAGCCAGAGCCCUGGUGGCCACGGGGAUAAGCAGCUGCCCCGCGGGGCUGAAACGUAGCCAGCGAUGCUCCUGCGAGGGGAGGCCCCGCGUCACGCGUGGGCGGCAGAGCCGGAACUCGGGGCACAGCUAUUUCUGGAGGCCGAGGCGAGAAAGUGGGGGCGGCGGAAGAGCCUCACAGGAACGGGGAGGCUGGGGGCCCCGGCGGGGGGCUCAGGGCCUGGUGUCCUCUGUGGGAAUGGAGAGCCGGGUGCAGAACCCCGAGCCCCUGUGGGCGCCAGAGGAGGAGCCAGGCAGGGAUGCUGUCCCCAACAGGCGACAAGACGCCCGGACAGACUGGCCGGGCCCUGGGGCAAAGCCAAGCUAGGACCUGGAAAUGUGGAGCCGGGUGGACGGCUGGGCUGCAGAUUUAAAUACG